AUUGAACGCUGGCGGCAGGCCUAACACAUGCAAGUCGAGCGGAUGAAGGGAGCUUGCUCCUGGAUUCAGCGGCGGACGGGUGAGUAAUGCCUAGGAAUCUGCCCGGUAGUGGGGGAUAACGUCCGGAAACGGGCGCUAAUACCGCAUACGUCCUGAGGGAGAAAGUGGGGGAUCUUCGGACCUCACGCUAUCAGAUGAGCCUAGGUCGGAUUAGCUAGUUGGUGGGGUAAAGGCCUACCAAGGCGACGAUCCGUAACUGGUCUGAGAGGAUGAUCAGUCACACUGGAACUGAGACACGGUCCAGACUCCUACGGGAGGCAGCAGUGGGGAAUAUUGGACAAUGGGCGAAAGCCUGAUCCAGCCAUGCCGCGUGUGUGAAGAAGGUCUUCGGAUUGUAAAGCACUUUAAGUUGGGAGGAAGGGCAGUAAGUUAAUACCUUGCUGCUUUGACGUUACCAACAGAAUAAGCACCGGCUAACUUCGUG
rnacentral:rRNA from 1 species